GGAGAGAUGGCCGAGCGGCUUAAGGCACCUUCCUGCUAAGAAGACGUGGGUUUUAUCAAUCCACCGAGGGUUCAAAUCCCUCUCUCUCCG
rnacentral:tRNA from 1 species